rnacentral:lncRNA from 1 species
CACUCGUUGUGGCAUCCCAAUUCCUUUCUUCGGUCUCUUCCAUAAGAAUCCAUCUCGAAGUAAAAAUCCAUAUGCUUUUUUUCUUAUUUGUUUGAAUUUUUCUGUAGAUCAAUUCUCCUGCUUAGUCAAGGUAUUGAAAUAAUGACCAUUAUCCAAUAAUUCUCCUUCAUAAGAUUCUUCAAGAAAUAGCUUGUCUUCUCUGUUGAGAUUUGAUAUUGAAUAGAAUUUCAAUCCGACAUCAUCAAUGUCUU